rnacentral:rRNA from 1 species
CCUACGGGAUGCAGCAGUGAGGAAUAUUGGUCAAUGGACGAGAGUCUGAACCAGCCAAGUAGCGUGAAGGAUGACUGCCCUAUGGGUUGUAAACUUCUUUUAUAUGGGAAUAAAAUGUUCCACGUGUGGGAUUUUGUAUGUACCAUAUGAAUAAGGAUCGGCUAACUCCGUGCCAGCAGCCGCGGUAAUACGGAGGAUCCGAGCGUUAUCCGGAUUUAUUGGGUUUAAAGGGAGCGUAGGUGGAUUGUUAAGUCAGUUGUGAAAGUUUGCGGCUCAACCGUAAAAUUGCAGUUGAAACUGGCAGUCUUGAGUACAGUAGAGGUGGGCGGAAGUCGUGGUGUAGCGGUGAAAUGCUUAGAUAUCACGAAGAACUCCGAUUGCGAAGGCAGUUCACUGGACUGCAACUGACACUGAGGCUCGAAAGUGUGGGUAUCAAACAGGAUUAGAUACCCCUGUAGUC